AGAGUUUGAUCCUGGCUCAGGACGAACGCUGGCGGCGUGCUUAACACAUGCAAGUCGAGCGGAAAGGCCCUUCGGGGUACUCGAGCGGCGAACGGGUGAGUAACACGUGAGCAAUCUGCCCUUAGCUUCGGGAUAGCUCCGGGAAACCGGAAUUAAUACCGGAUAUGACUAUGGCCGACAUCAGCCAUGGUGGAAAGUUUUUCGGCUAGGGAUGAGCUCGCGGCCUAUCAGCUAGUUGGUGGGGUAAUGGCCUACCAAGGCGACGACGGGUAGCCGGCCUGAGAGGGCGACCGGCCACACUGGGACUGAGACACGGCCCAGACUCCUACGGGAGGCAGCAGUGGGGAAUAUUGCGCAAUGGGCGAAAGCCUGACGCAGCGACGCCGCGUGGGGGAUGAAGGCCUUCGGGUUGUAAACCCCUUUCAGCAGGGACGAAGCGAAAGUGACGGUACCUGCAGAAGAAGCGCCGGCUAACUACGUGCCAGCAGCCGCGGUAACACGUAGGGCGCAAGCGUUGUCCGGAAUUAUUGGGCGUAAAGAGCUCGUAGGCGGUCUGCCACGUCCGCUGUGAAAACCUAGGGCUUAACCCUGGGCUUGCAGUAGAUACGGGCAGACUAGAGGUAGGUAGGGGAGAAUGGAAUUCCCGGUGUAGCGGUGAAAUGCGCAGAUAUCGGGAGGAACCCGGUGGCGAAGGCGGUUCUCUGGGCCUUCCUGACGCUGAGGAGCGAAAGCGUGGGGAGCAAACAGGAUUAGAUACCCUAGUAGUCC
rnacentral:rRNA from 1 species